rnacentral:rRNA from 1 species
UACGGAGGGUGCGAGCGUUAUCCGGAUUUACUGGGUUUAAAGGGUGUGUAGGCGGACUUUUAAGUCAGCGGUGAAAUCUCCGGGCUCAACCCGGAAACUGCCAUUGAUACUAUUGGUCUUGAAUGUUGUUGAGGUGGGCGGAACGGGUCAUGUAGCGGUGAAAUGCAUAGAUAUGACCCGGAACACCGAUUGCGUAGGCAGCCCACUAAGCAACGAUUGACGCUGAGGCACGAAAGCGUGGGGAUCAAACAGG